rnacentral:rRNA from 1 species
GAUGAACGCUAGCGGCGUGCCUGAGAUAUGCAAGUCGAGCGUCGCUUAUACUUUGCACCGGAAUUACAAAAGUGCACAUUUGUAAUUCUCGCGCAGAGUGUAAGUGUAGCGGCGGACGGCUGAGUAACACGUGGGUAUUUGCCCCAGAAUCGAGGAUAGCUUGCCGAAAGGCGAGGUAAUACUCCAUAGUCUUUCAUAGUAAUAUGUUUGUAAAGCGCUUUACCGCGCGUUCUGGGAUAAGCCUGCGGCUUAUCAGGUAGUUGGUGAGGUAACGGCUCACCAAGCCUAUGACGAGUAGCUGGCCUGAGAAGGUGGUCAGCCAGAAGAGCACUGAGACACGGGCUCUACUCCUACGGGAGGCAGCAAUCAGGAAUAGUCGGCAAUGGGGGAAACCCUGACCGCGCGACGCCGCGUGCGAGAUGAAGCUCUAACGAGUGUAAAUCGCUGUGGUAGUGGAAGAAGAUAGGAUUUAUUCUAUUUGACGGUACACUACUAGAAAGGGGCCGCUAAUUGCGUGCCAGAAGCGUCGGUAAUACGUGAGCCUCAAGCGUUAUCCGGUGUCAUUGGGCGUAAAGUGUCGUGUAGGCGGUUUGUUAAGUUUCUGUUUAAAUAUCAAGGCUUAACCUUGAAACAAACAGGAAAACUGGCAGACUAGAAUAUUCUCAAGGGAGAUUGGAACACAUAGAGUAGCAGUGAAAUGCGUUGAUACUAUGUGGAACAUUAGUGGCGAAGGCGAAUCUCUGGGAGUUUAUUGACGCUGAGACACGAAAGCUAGGGGAGCGAAGCAGAUUAGAGACCUGCGUAGUCCUAGCCCUAAACCAUGCUUGCUAGCUGCGUUCUAUGAUUUAUCAUAGGGUGUGGCGAAGGUAACCCGUUAAGCAAGCCGCCUGGGGAGUACGGUCGCAAGGCUGAAACUCAAAGGAAUUGGCGGGGAGGCACACAACCAGUGGAACAUGUGGUUCAAUUCGAAACGAACCGAAGAACCUCACCAAGGUUUGACAUCCUAGGGACAGCCCGAUGAAAGUUGGGCCUUCCGCAAGGACUCUAGGACAGGUGCUGCAUGGCUGUCGUCAGCUCGUUCCGUGAGGAGUACCCUUAAGUGGGACAACGAGCGCAACCCCCAUCUUGUGUUAUAUUUGUCACAAGAGACUGCCCGAACUUUGUUCGGGAGGAAGGAGGGGCAGACGUCAAGUCAGCAUGGCCCUUAUACCUUGGGCUACACACAUGUUACAAUGGACCACAACAAUGAGCUGCCACUUGGUAACAAGGAGCUAAUCUCAUAAAUUGGUCCUCAGUGGGGAUAGAGGUCUGCAACUCGACCUCUUGAACGCGGAAUUGGUAGUAAUCGCGGAUCAGUCAAGCCGCGGUGAAUACGUUCUUGCCUCUUGCACACACCGCCCGUCAAGCCAACAAAGUUGGUAGUAUUUGAAUUCCGCUUACGGCGGGAGAGGAUACUGUCGGCGAUGGGGGUU